rnacentral:rRNA from 1 species
UACAGAGGUCUCAAGCGUUGUUCGGAUUCAUUGGGCGUAAAGGGUGCGCAGGCGGCGGGGCAAGUCGGAUGUGAAAUCUCGGGGCUUAACCCCGAAACUGCAUUCGAUACUGCCUUGCUCGAGAGCUGGAGAGGAGACUGGAAUUCCCGGUGUAGCGGUGAAAUGCGUAGAUAUCGGGAGGAACGCCGAAGGCGAAGGCAAGUCUCUGGACAGUUUCUGACGCUCAUGCACGAAGGCCAGGGGAGCAAACCGG